rnacentral:rRNA from 1 species
CCUACGGGCGGCAGCAGUGAGGAAUAUUGGUCAAUGGUCGUAAGCCUGAACCAGCCAAGUAGCGUGCAGGAUGACGGCCCUAUGGGUUGUAAACUGCUUUUAUGCGGGAAUAAAGCGCGUUACGUGUAGGGCUUUGCAGGUACCGCAUGAAUAAGGACCGGCUAAUUCCGUGCCAGCAGCCGCGGUAAUACGGAAGGUCCGGGCGUUAUCCGGAUUUAUUGGGUUUAAAGGGAGCGUAGGCCGCAUGUUAAGCGUGCGGUGAAAUGCCGGGGCUCAACCCGGGCCUUGCAGCGCGAACUGGCGUGCUUGAGUGCGCGGAAAGCAGGCGGAAUUCGUGGUGUAGCGGUGAAAUGCUUAGAUAUGACGAAGAACUCCGAUUGCGAAGGCAGCUUGCGGCAGCGGAACUGACGCUGAUGCUCGAAGGCGCGGGUAUCGAACAGGAUUAGAUACCCUAGUAGUC